UAACACGUGGGUAACCUGCCUUAUAGUGGGGGGAGUAGCCUUUCGAAAGGAAGAUUAAUACCGCAUAAGAUUGUAGUAUCGCAUGAUAUAGCAAUUAAAGGAGCAAUCCGCUAUAAGAUGGACCCGCGUCGCAUUAGCUAGUUGGUGAGGUAAUGGCUCACCAAGGCGACGAUGCGUAGCCGACCUGAGAGGGUGAUCGGCCACAUUGGGACUGAGACACGGCCCAGACUCCUACGGGGGCAGCAUG
rnacentral:rRNA from 1 species